UACGUAGGGACCAAGCGUUGUUCGGAUUUACUGGGCGUAAAGGGCGCGUAGGCGGCCUUCUAAGUCAGACGUGAAAUCCCCCGGCUUAACCUGGGAACUGCGUCUGAUACUGGGAGGCUUGAGUAUGGGAGAGGGAUGUAGAAUUCCAGGUGUAGCGGUGAAAUGCGUAGAUAUCUGGAGGAAUACCGGUGGCGAAGGCGGCAUCCUGGACCAUUACUGACGCUGAGGCGCGAAAAGCUAGGGGAGCAAACGGGG
rnacentral:rRNA from 1 species